rnacentral:rRNA from 1 species
GACGAACGCUGGCGGCGUGCCUAAUACAUGCAAGUAGAACGCUGAAGAGAGGAGCUUGCUCUUCUUGGAUGAGUUGCGAACGGGUGAGUAACGCGUAGGUAACCUGCCUGUUAGCGGGGGAUAACUAUUGGAAACGAUAGCUAAUACCGCAUAAAAUGGACUAUCGCAUGAUAAUCCAUUUAAAGGUGCAAAUGCAUCACUACCAGAUGGACCUGCGUUGUAUUAGCUAGUUGGUGGGGCAACGGCUCACCAAGGCGGCGAUACAUAGCCGACCUGGAAGGGUGAACGGCCACACUGGGAAUGGGACAAGGCCCAAACUCCUACGGGGAGCAGCAGUAGGGAAUCUUCGGCCAUGGACGGAAGUCUGACCGAGCAAAGCCGGGUGAGUGAAGGAGGUUUUCGGGUCGUAAAGCUCUGUUGUAAGAGAAGAACGAGUGUGAGAGUGGAAAGUUCACACUGUGACGGUAUCUUACCAGAAAGGGACGGCUAACUACGUG